GUUGUUCAGGAGGAGUUACAGUGUAAAGGUAGUGUCUAGAUUGGGUUGCUCAGGAGGAGCUACAGUGUAAAGGUAGUGUCUAGAUUGGGUUGCUCAGGAGGAGCUACAGUGUAAAGGUAGUGUCUAGAUUGGGUUGCUCAGGAGGAGCUACAGUGUAAAGGUAGUGUCUAGAUUGGGUUGAUGACUUAAUCCACUUUAAUAUUAAACUCAUCCACACUACUGCAGUGGCCUCUAGUUGUUCAUGACUUUAAUAAAAGAACUGCAGCGUGGUGGGUUGGCUGCUGUAAGCUACAGCUUGAAGUUGUUACAUACUGGCCUGGCAGUCAACCCCAAGGCUUUCUCCUGCUGUUUCCCUAAUGAUAUGCUGCAGCUAUGAAAAUCCCAGACUUUUCAACUAAAUUAACUGUUUUGUGAGAGUGGAUAGUCCCCACCCCCCCC
rnacentral:lncRNA from 1 species